GACGAACGCUGGCGGCGUGCCUAAUACAUGCAAGUCGAGCGCAGGAAACUGACGGAACUCUUCGGAGGGAAGGCAGCGGAAUGAGCGGCGGACGGGUGAGUAACACGUAAGGAACCUGCCUCAAGGAUUGGGAUAACUCCGAGAAAUCGGAGCUAAUACCGGAUAGUUCAACGGACCGCAUGGUCCGCUGAUGAAAGGCGCUCCGGCGUCACCUUGAGAUGGCCUUGCGGUGGAUGAGCGAGUUGGUGGGGUAACGGCCCACCAAGGCGACGGUGCAUAGCAGACCUGAGAGGGUGAUCGGCCACACCGCGCAUGAAGGCCUGCCCCGACUCCUGAGUGAGGCAGCAGUAGGGAAUCUUCCACAAUGGACGAAAGUCUGAUGGAGCAACGCCGCGUGAGUGAUGAAGGUUUUCGGAUCGUAAAACUCUGUUGUAAGGGAAGAACACGUACGAGAGGAAAUGCUCGUACCUUGACGGUACCUUACGAGAAAGCCACGGCUAACUACGUGCCAGCCGCCGCCGUAAUAC
rnacentral:rRNA from 1 species